rnacentral:misc_RNA from 1 species
UCCUGGUUAACCCAGGCAGUCUCAUUAGAGUUCCCACCUUAAAUGUUGGCAACUAAUGAUAAGGGUUGCGCUCGUUGCGGGACUUAACCCAACACCUCACGGCACGAGCUGACGACAGCCAUGCAGCACCUGUGCAGCAGUCCCGAAGGAAGUCGCUAUUUCUAGCGAGGUCUACUGCAUGUCAAGUCUGGGUAAGGUUCUUCGCGUUGCAUCGAAUUAAACCACAUGCUCCACUGCUUGUGCGGGUCCCCGUCAAUUCUUUUGAGUUUCACCCUUGCGAGCGUACUCCCCAGGCGGUAUACUUAUCACUUUCGCUUAGCCACUGAGAUUGCUCCCAACAGCUAGUAUCCAUCGUUUACGGCGUGGACUAC